rnacentral:rRNA from 1 species
GACGAACGCUGGCGGCGUGCUUAACACAUGCAAGUCGAGCGGUAAGGCCCUUUCGGGGGUACACGAGCGGCGAACGGGUGAGUAACACGUGGGUGACCUGCCCUCAGCUCUGGGAUAAGCCUGGGAAACCGGGUCUAAUACUGGAUAUGACUCCAUGACGCAUGUUGUGGGGUGGAAAGCCUUGUGCGGCUGAGGAUGGGCCCGCGGCCUAUCAGCUUGUUGGUGGGGGAUGGCCUACCAAGGCGACGACGGGUAGCCGGCCUGAGAGGGCGACCGGCCACACUGGGGACUGAGACACGGGCCCAGACUCCUACGGGAGGCAGCAGUGGGGAAUCUUGCGCAAUGGGCGAAAGCCUGACGCAGCGACGCCGCGUGAGGGAUGACGGCCUGGUGUAACGUACUUCUA